AUGAUGUCUUCCGAGCCCGAGAAAGCGCCGCCCGCCCCCGAAGCGGGCGUCCCCGCAGACACCGUCAGCAAUAAGCAACGGAAGAGGGACGCCAGGAAGGCCGAGAAGGCGGCCAAGUACGCGCAGGCGCAGCAGAAGCCCGCCGCCAAGGACCCCUCGCCGGAGCAUGAGAAGAAGAAGCAGCAGCCCGACGCCGAGGACGACCCCUCGGCGGCCAACUACGGCGACGUCCUCCCCGGGGAGAUCCUCCCUACGGCAGUCCCCGAUGAACCGUGGGCGGAGAUCGGCCGCCUCGACAAGGCCGCCGCUGGCUGCUCCGUGCGCGCGACGCCCAGGCAGUCUACCGUGGGUGGAGAACUGGAGAUUCAGGUGAGGAAGCUCUACUGCAUCACCAGGGCCGACCCGAGGCUACCGAUCAGCGCGCAGGAUGCCGGCUGGAGUGCAGAGGAGUUUGCAAAAGCUGAAGCAAAAUUCAGAGAAUAUUUGUCCUCAAAAGAUAUUGGGAUCCACACUCCAAAGCUGAUUUCAGGGUCAAGUGAAGGUGGAGCAGCAGUAUUCAAACUUGAAUAUAAGAAUGGCAAGUGUGCUUGUUUAGCACAAUCCCCUCAGCUGCACAAGCAGCUGGCUAUCUGUGGUGGGUUCCGUCGUGUCUUAGAGGUUGGGGAUGUGUUUAGAGCUGAAGAUUCCAACACACAUAGGCAUCUGUGUGAGUUUGUUGGUUUGGACGCUGAAAUGGAGAUUAUAAGGCACUACUUUGAGAUUUGCGAUAUUGUGGAUGGAUUAUUUGUAGAAUUGUUCAGACACUUGAAUGAAAAUUGGAAGACGAAACUCGAGGCAAUUAAUAGGCAGUAUCCAUUUGAACCAGUGAAGUACCUAGAGGGUAUCUUGAGGCUCAGUUACGAGGAAGGAAUACAACUGUUGAAGUAUAUAACUGCUAUUUUAACUCUACUGUACAUAGCCUAA
rnacentral:rRNA from 1 species